rnacentral:tRNA from 1 species
UGGUGUGGCUCAAUGGCAGAGCAGUUGAUUUGUAAUCAUCAGGUUGUAGGUUCGACUCCUAUCACC